AACUAAGUUUCAACAACGGAUCUCUUGGCUCUCGCAUCGAUGAAGAACGCAGCGAAAUGUGAUAAGUAAUGUGAAUUGCAGAAUUCAGUGAAUCAUCGAAUCUUUGAACGCACCUUGCGCUCCUUGGUAUUCCUUGGAGCAUGCCUGUUUGAGUAUCA
rnacentral:rRNA from 1 species